rnacentral:lncRNA from 1 species
UAUUUUUUUCUUUCUAUGUUCACAUAAGCUGCUAUGAUGCUAUUUGCUGAUCAAGACCCUUCUAAUAAUGAGCCAUGCAUAAGCCAAAAUAAUCCAAACAUAAACCAUUCCAAACAGCCCCCUAAUAAUGAGCAACUUGUAUUUGAUUGUGUUUUCACAUAAGUACUCCAUUAUUCAACUUUCCACCUAUCUGACUAGGGCAUUACAUAUAAAUUAGACAUUUAAUGCUCUUAAUGAUUAUAUGUCUUGAAUAAGUUCAAUAUUACAAUUUGCUUUGUGUGCCAGUUUGCAUAAUAUGGGAUUAGUGUUGAAUAUCUGCUCCAUUUUAUUUUUUUGUAACAUGUAUCUUUCUAUUUUGUGAAUUGAAAUACCUGGCAGUAUUUUUCUUGCAUCUUGGUCAUAUCUUUGGUGCGCGUGUGUGUGUUUGGUCGUUGUAAUCGUCUAAUGUUUUUAUACAAUACUUCAGCUCAGUUGUUUUAUAACAUACGUUGAUAAAAUGCAUGCUUGAGUUGCAUCCGUAUAUAAUGUUGUGUACGAAUGAGAGAUGAGGAUUUGAACUGUUUGAUUUUGCUUUACCCUCCUGAUUUCCUUGCCGAUUGUUGUUUAAUGACAUAUUUAGACACCUUGAGUCUCUGAUUAAAUUUUUAAACCAGCAGGUGAAUCCCAAAACUAAUGAAAAGACAAAAUUUUACUAUCACGGAAUUGGAAAGCUAGAGUUUCUUCUUUUGAACUAUCGCCGAGGCCUUCGGUCUAUGCUCAAAUUUUUAGAGAAGCAGGUGAAACUCAAAACUUAUAAAAAUAUUGAAGUACGUGAGAUUGAAUUUGGAAAGCCACAUUUUCGUGUUGAGAACUUCGGCGAAGCAACCACCAUCGAGCGUAUCUUGAAGGUUAAAAAUGAUGUAUAGCUCUUGAACAUCAUGCCUUGGAUCCUGUCAAAAAUUUCCCCAUAAAAUCAAAUUUUACCCCAUAUUUGGUCUUUGUUUUGUUCAGUUAAUCUUUUGGACCUUUUGCGCUUAAGUUGAAAAACAUACGACAAUUGUAAUUAUACUACUAUAUUGCUUUGUUAAAAAAUAUACCCGUCUCAAAUUUUAACUGUUAUGAUUUUCUUUGUUGAAAUUUUUACACUUUUGAUGUAUGUAAUACUUGUGGCAGCUAUUAUAAAUGAAUAAAGAAAGAUAAAAGAUUGCAAACAGCUGAUGAAUUUCUUAUUUGUGUAGUGAGAUUUAAAGAGAAGAUACAAAAGGUAUACUAUAAAGAUAUAACCUUGCGCACUCAAGGCUACCCGAAAGGAGCACUCUCCUUUCACUAGAGCUUUCUGUCGUCACGAUUUAGUUAUUCAAAGAUCAACUAUGUCAUAUAUCGUGAGAGGUUUCCACGCGAAAUUUCCACAAAUACUGUUAUGUAUAUUUUUCUUUCUAUAUAGCUACCACUAUUUUUUACCAUAACUAUUUUUGAUCAAUUUUUUUUCUCUACAUAGCUACUACUAUUAAAUAGAGAGAAAAAAAACUUGCACAAUCGAAAUAUUUAUUAUGGUAGGUGGCUUUACAAGUAUUAAAAUAUUAAAAUCACUUAAGUUUUGUUUGGAAGUUUGGAGAGUUGGAAAUAUAGGGAAAAAUGAUAAAUUCUUUCGCAUUUUUUGAAAGAGUAAUUUUUUAGAGAAUGAUAAAUUAAUUUUAUUUUUUUGAGGGAAGAGAAUGAUAAAUUAAUAUUUUUUUAUUAAUAUAUUUUUAAUUUAAAAAAUAUUAUAAGUACAUAGAUUAAAUCUGAAGAAUUCAUGUAAAUCUUCCAAAACCCCAAAACUCUCCUUUAAUAAAACUUUUGAGUUCCCCAAACGAGAAAAAUUUUGUAUUAUGAAGAAAAAUGAUCCCCCAAAAUCUUUGUCUCUCAAUGUCAUUUAUUUCUUCCACUUACUCUUUUUUUUCUUUCUCCAAACCUCUCCUCUCCAUUCCCCUCCAAACUCGCGAACAAAGCCUUAAAAUUUGAAGAAAAUAACAUGAAGUUUAGGUGAUGACACAUAAAAGAGUUUGAAUCAACAAAACAAUGGAAGUUGGUACUUGUAGAUACAAGUUUAAAUGCUUGUGAAUGUUCGUGAUAUAUUUUGGUCGCAAUAUUAAGCAUUUUUCUUUUCUUUAGCAUGCACGUGUUUUUUAGUUCAAUAGUUUAGUGGUUAGAAACUCACAUUUGUAAGUUGUCUGUGAACACCGCAUAUAUCAAUUGAGUUAAAGUCAUGAUGACCGUUACAUCUUUCUAUUCAUAGGAAAAAAUCUUCUAUUGUGUUCGCAGGUAUGAUUAUAUUGAAAAUAGAACAAACGGUGACAACAAAGUUGUGUCAAUCUAAUAAGCUUGAUUAUUGAUAGAUCAAUAAAAUCCAAUAUUAUGUAUGCAUAUAAGUAUAGGAAAUGAUAAUUGGUUGAAACAAUGUUAUUGGUAAUAUCAACAAAGAAUAGUCGGAAAUACUCGAUGAUGGUGGUUGGUGGGUAGAUGAUAUCGAAUAUCAAUAGAAAGUGUAACGUAAUGCAGUUGAAUUGGUGUUGAAGGAGGGAAGGAAGAAGAGUUGGAACACUAAGCAAACGCAAAAUUAGGUGGUUGUUAGUUAAGAGUUGUUAUUUUGCUUAUCCUUAGAAAGUCUUUAAAUAGCCCUAAAGGAUAGAGGGGAAAGAUAUAUUUGAAGAGCAUUGUUAUUUACAGCGAAUGUCAAUAUCACGAGCGCUUCACGAACUAGCUUUUGUCUAGUUACUCUCCACUUAAUUUUUUCUCCCAAUACACAUGUAGCAAGUACCAACACUGCUUAGUGUCCACCAAAACAAAAACCAGAAGCAAACUAUCUCACCCUAACUUCUUUUUUGUGCAUAUCAUAUAAACAUUUGAUUUUAGUCCCCCUAAAAUAUUAUUUAGGCUUUUGGUCCAUUCAAAAUUUUCCAUCCAUGAAGUUGGUCCCUACUUUUUAGUCAACUUGUGUCUAACCUUCAUAUUUUUAAUGAAGUUUUCCAUCCAUGAUUAAUGAAGAUUUGUAUAUUCAAAGAUUCGCUCCAUGUCCCAUAAAUAGAAAAACAAAAAUAUGAAGCAAUUGUCGUUCUUCUCAGUAAUAUCAAACAUAGUAAUGACCACUCUCAUAUUCACUCAGUUUGAGAUUCUCCAUAUUUUGUGAACAAAUGACAAAAGAAUGAUAAAGUAUAGAUGGUGAUAGAAUAAUGCAUCAUGAGAUGAUGACGACGACUCUCAUAUUCUUCCAUUUUUAAACACAAAAAUGCCAGAAUCAAUCCCAUGAAUUUCUCUGUAUCAUUAAAUGAUUUCAUCAAAAUUAGGAGCCAAAAGAAAGUAGAAAUUGUGCAUUUCUCGAUUAUUGUCCCAUAAUUUAAGUAACUGAAGAUAAAAAUUAAAAAGUUUAAUUGCAGUUUUGACCUCCUAUAAAAAAAUAAUAACAAUUUUGCCUCUUAAGUUUACCAUCUCUUACAAUUUUAGUCCCUUAAUCUGAUUUUGACACAAUCAACGCACACAUGACAACUCACUGAAAUAAGUAGGAUGUCAACGUGUUAUUGUCAAUUUAAAAUUAAUAAGAAAACCACAUGGAUUCUUUCCAAAAAAAAAUCACGUGGAUAUUUCAUUAAUUAAAAAAAACAAAAAAGGAAGGAGGAAAAAAUGGAAUUAAACCUUUUUUUUUUUUUUUCUGUUCAGUUUUCUUCGUCUCUCAUGAAUAAAGAACAUGUUUUUCUUCACACCAUCACCAUCAACGCCAAACUUUCAACCACCAUUCCUCCAUCAUCUCAUACCAUUUUGCCACACCAUCACAGCCAUUGAAACUCUCUCUUCUUCCUCUACAUAACCACUAUUUUAAUUUUUAAGAUCUAAGAUGUUGAAAAUUUGUAGCCCCCACCUUCUCUUUUCUUUUUCGGCCACCACGAGCCGUGAUGUUAAAGGAAAUAUUUUCUUGGAAAUUGUGUAUUUUAUGUUUUAAAAGUUAAAAAGUUGCUCUUUUCAAUGCAAUUUUUUUUUUCUUUCUACUUUUAGCUUCUUAACCAGUGUCCGUGUCCCAGGAUACCCGUUAACAAAACCCAUUAUUUUAUUAAGUUUAUUUAAAUUCAAUGUAAUCUCUCAAUUUGCUUUAAACCACCCUUAAUAAAAUAAAAUAAAAUUUACUUUAUACUACUUAAAAAUGAUUUGUAUCUUAACCAUCUUCAACGUGAGAAGAAAAAAUCAGAAGAAAAUUGGAUUAUAGUGAUACGAAAGCUUGCCGUUUCCAUCUCUGAUCAACCAAGCUCGAUUCCGAGCGAGGACAAUUUGGGUAUAUUUCAUUCUCAUCUUCCCACGCGUAUAGCACAUUCAUCGAUUUUCAGGUUCGAUUCAUUGCUUUGGGAUUAGGGUUCAUAGUUUGUGGAUUUUAACGUUGUAUUGAACAGAAAACGUUUUCUGACACGACGGACCGUUUUGGCGUUUACCCAAGUUGUCACGUGCUGAAGAAAACAACCAUGGAAGUUAACCUUCGUCAGUAUAUAGUAAAUUCCGAAACUUUACUACUUAUUGAUAUUGGGUUUCUGCAAAUUUCUACAAUUUAGGUCUUUUAUUUAUUUAUUUUUAGUUCUAUUGUUUCAUUUGGGUUUUUAAUAAAAUCACUAUUUGAUUUUACUAAAUCAAAUUUUCUAUUGUUCAUUUUUGAAGUGAUUGGAUUUGGAAGAUGCAUGAAAAAGUGAUGUUUCUUAUUUAGGGUUAGUUUGGAUUGGCUUAUUUGAGUUUUAUCUACCGGCAUUAACUCAAAUAAGACGGUGGGAACUUAAGCUUAUAUGGUUUAGGCAUGUAGAGAGAAGACCUAUAAAUUUUGUAGUAGGGAGGGUAUUACUAGAGGCAUAGGAAGACCUAGAAAAACUUUGAGAAACUAUUAAGAAUGAUUUAGAGAUUAACGGGUCGGAUAGAAGUAUGGUAUUUAAUACAACAUUAUGGUGUUGUUUGAUCCAUGUAGCCUACCUCGCUUAGAGGAAUAAGGUUUGGUUGUUGCUGAUGUGGUUUUGUUGUAGUAUAACCACUUGUGAGACUGUUUGAAAGAACUUAUGAAUACAACUUAUGAAAUUUUCGCAAGUUGUUUUCAGGUUAUUUCCAUAAUCUCUCCAUGGUAGCUUAUGAAAACAGUUUAUGAAUUAUGACUUUAUUUUAUCUUUUAUUAUGAAAUUAGAUUAUAUGAGAAGUGUUUGUGCUACUAUAAGUUGCAAAGUAAGCUGUUUAUCUAAACAAGGACCUGUAGCUGUUAUUAUGCUUUGUUCAGAUUCUCCGGUGGAUUUGACUUUUGUUUUGAGAAGCAUAAAAAAUUGAUAUUUAUUGGUUAUUUAAUAUGUCUACAGAUUCAAACACUGAGUCGGCCGAAAUUGGGGUUGCUGCGAAUCAGAAUGCAGUUUCUACUAGUGACGGCUGUGAAAGGAGUUUGAAACCUGUGGAAGAUAAAGAAGAAGAGGAGGAAGAGGAAGAGGAAGAAGAAGAUGCAGACUUUAAUCCUUUGUUUCUAAAGGAAACACUUUCAGAUGCUUCAUCAAGUUUGAGUUCUGAAGGUGAUGGAUUGGAUCGUAAUGUUGUAGAUAGUGGGCCAUCUAUGGAUAUAGAUUUGGAAAAGAUAACGGAUAAUGAGCAAAUCUGUAGUGCAGUAGAUUCUGAACAUGGCGAGGAGGAAAUUGUUUUAGAAGCGGCAGGUAUGAUAUCUCAAUUGGAGAUUGAUAAGGAGAAGAAGAAUGACUUGAUUAGUGGUACUAGUGAUGGUUUUAGGAUAGAAGACAUAAGCAACACAACGAAACCCCGAAGCCCAGUGAUAGACAUAGAUACUGAGGAUGCUAUUUGUAUGCGUACUAGAGCUCGUUAUUCGCUUGAAGGUUUCAGUCUUGAUGAGCUUGAGACCUUUCUUCAAGAGACUGAUGAUGAAGAUGAUGUUCAAAAUGUCGAUGAUGAAGAAGAGUAUAAAAAAUUUCUAGCAGCUGUAUUACAGGGUGGAGAACGUGACGGUCUUUCAUCUCAUGAAAAUGAAAACCUUGAUGAUGAUGAGGAUAAUGAUGCAGACUUUGAGUUAGAGCUUCAGGAGUUGCUGGACAGUGAUGCUGACGAGAAUGCAGCGGUAGAAACCCGAAAUGAGUGUGAUGGUGCUGGACGACGACCAAAGACUAGACAAAAUAAUCGCCGGAAGAGCUCUUCCCAAAGUGAGAGAAAAACAUUCGGACAGGUUAACAGGCCACUGCGGCCCAUUUUGCCUUGUUGGCUUAAUGGACAACUUGUUUCAGGGAAUGGUUUGAUGCCUGAAGCUACUUGUAGCAUUCAAUCUUCUGCUUCAAGAAAUGGUCUUGUUAAUGGCUUUACUCCCCAACAGAUUGGUCAGCUGUACAGUUUGAUACAUGAGCAUGUACAACUGCUUAUUCAGGUAUUUUCGCUGUCAGUUCUUGAGCCUUCACACAAACAGGUAGCUUCUCAAGUUCAGAGUAUGCUUUUUGAGAUGCUUCACAAACGGGAUGCAGUAUUAGCUUCAACAAGAACACCAUAUCCUGCUGUUUGCUUUACUCCAUCUGUCCCAGGCCAGUGCCACACAGGAUCUGCUUCUAUCCAAGAUGCAAUGAGUGUGAGGAUUCCUCAAUACCAUCAGACCUCUUCUGAAGGUUUGAAUGGGCAAAGAAGUUGUUUUCAAGAUGCUGACGGUUCUUUCUGGUUUCCUAUUGUAAGAGGCCCUGUGCUAUCUAUGUUGGAUGUUGCUCCUCUUAAUUUACUAAGAGGAUAUGUAAAUGACAUUAAUUCUGGUAGGUGCUAUUAUUUACUUAAAGUUUUUUUCAUGCCUUUCCAUUCUAUACUGGUUCAUAAUAUUGACUUUUAUGGUUUACUUACUCAAGCAUUGGUUUGAAAUUCCUUUUACAGCUGCCCGAGAGUUUCGAAAGCGAUUCAUUGAAUCUGGUUUUGAUCAAGUUAUUGAAAAGGAACCUCUAUUUCCUUUUUCUUCAUCUGUUGUUGGAGCCAAUAGUACAGUCUCAUCUUCACCUGAUAAAAAACAACCUAAGAAAACAUUGGCUGGCAUGCUUGUUGAAAGUUCCAAAAAGCAGUCAAUUGCUUUGGUGCCAAAGGAAGUUGCGAGCAAAACUCAAAGAUUUUUGGCCUUUUUUAAUCCAGCAUUAUUCCCACACAAGCCACCCCUGGCAGCAUCUGUAAAUAGGACACUUUUCACUGAUUCAGAGGACGAGUAAGUUGCAUUCCUCCUCUUUGCGCUAGUCAACUAUAUUAAAUUAUUUACUGUGAAAAAGCUAGAUCUUGAUUCUGUUUACUUUGUAUUACUUGAAUAUUCUUUUCUCACUCAAUAAUGCAAAGGUUUGUACAAAUAUUUGUAUACAUGAGAGAUGUAAUCUAACUAGGAAUGUAAUCCUGUCAUGAUUUUAACUAACAAAUCUUAUAAUAAUCAACAUCAAUUUCUCAGCACUUCCCCUCAACUUCAUACCCCCUAAAACCUUAUCAAAACACGUUUUCAUACCCUCAAAAUGGAAGGUAUGAAAAUGUUUUUUUUACUGGUAAGAAGUGGGUCAAGUUCUUUUAGAUACUUAAAACUAAUGUUGGAGCUUUCGCUUCCACCUAUCAAGGCUUAGGUGAAAUAAAUGCAAUAUUGGUUUUUAUUCUCUUAUAAGUUCCCCUUUUCAACCAUGCUGCCAUUAAUAUCGCGGCCAACAUUUUCUGUCGUGCAAAAUCCACUUUUGUUCUACCGUUACACCGUAUGACCACUUAAUAAAAGCAUUGCGUGUCUUCAUUUUCUGCAUUUUUAUCUAUUACAAUUGUAUUCCCAUUGUUCAAGACAAGCUCGCAGUGUUUACUAAGACCUAUAUAUUUUAUUGCAGAUUACUAGCCUUAGGGAUAUUGGAAUAUAAUACAGAUUGGGAAGCAAUUAAACAAAGAUUUCUUCCCAGCAAGUCUACGCAUCAGGUGACUAUUAUUGUUGACUAAAUUUUAUGACAACUUCUUUGAAUGUGAUACAAUGGAUGGACUCUUUUCUUGCAUAUAAAUGUAUGUUAUUUUUUGUUGUAUGCUUCUUUGAGGUUUUUUCUCUAAUUUGUGAGUAUUGUCAUGUUUAGAGACUAAUGUAUGGCUCGAUCGCAUUCGUUAUUCAUGUUAUUAUACAAAAUUGUAAUAUAACAAGUAUUUCAAAACUUCCAGCGGUCAGUGGAAUAAUGAAUAUGCUGGUUCCUUGAUACACUAAUUCAACCAUAUUUAAAUUAGUGAUAUUUAAUGUAUGUAUUUUGAAUAUUUUAUGUUCUAUAACAUUAAUUUUAAGUAAUAAGGAAACAUAAAUAUUAUAAGAAAUCAAGUUAGAUAGAAAAUGAAAAUUAACAUAAAAUGCCCAUCUUAUAUGUUUUGUAAGUAACAUUAAAACUCAAUAAGAGACUAAAUAAUGAUAAUUCGCACAUCAUCCUCAUAUGUGAGCCUUUGUAACUUGGCAUCAGGCUUGUACUGAUUUUAUUUUUGGCUGAAUUUUUUUUUACAAAAAAGGUUAAAAUAUAACAACUGCUUCUUCAUCGUAGGUUUUCCACUGGAUUUUGGGUUUGUACAAACCAGACCCCAUACAAAUAGUAUUCACUAAUUUCCAAUCAAAUCAGCUUCUUUGGUCUCGUUUUUUAAAAUAUGUUUGAAAUGGCUAAAUGGGUUGCAUGAGUUAUUGGUUACUUGAAUUAAACUUUUUGUGUCGUACUUGGAUGGCUAUACUCUAAUAAAAGGCAGGGUAGGCUUACAUUUGUUGCUCAAUUCCAUUUGCUGUCAUCUAUUUUUUACAUGAUUCGGCUGCCUAGUGGUGAGACACUGCCUGAACCCCCUCCCCCAAAAGUAAAAAUGUAAAGAAAGAGCAAAAGUAAACGAAUUAGUAUGCAACAAGUUUCUUGGCUCUAGGAUAUUCAUUAGUAAAUAGUAAGCGACUGUGCUUACAGAUUUGGGAAGUUGGUUUUAAUAAUUGUCUUAUAUGGGUAUAAUAUACUAUGUUAUUCAUUGAUUGGCCAACACUUUUUUAGUUGUGCAAAUAAUUGUCCUAUAUACUAGCUUUUGAAUUAAAAUAAAAUGUUUAGUUGAAUAAUUAGUUUAGCAAUUUCAUUGUGGUGGUCAAUUUUGUUGCUUAUCUAAUAUGGCACUGAAUGGUCUGGUUACAGAUUUUUGUCAGACAGAAAAAUCGUUGCUCUUCAAAGUCAUCAGAGAACCCAAUAAAGGUAAACACACAUGCUUAAUCCAUAUAUAAUCAAAUACAAGCUGUUUCUGACCAGUUAAAUCUUUACUAUCUCUGUUUCAUCAUCAAUGGUAAAGCAAUAAUUUCCUUUGGAAGAGACUGCAUAUCCAUUUCUUAGCAAUUGUGCAAGACUAAGAAGAUUUAGAUAUAAUUUUGCUAUGUAAAGAACAUCAGUGGCAAUUUUCACAACAUUCAUAUUUUUACAGCAAUUGUCCCAUUUUGCUUGUUCAAAUUCACCAUUUCCAAGCUUAACUUUUGGUUGAGUGAUCUGUCCGUGGAUGUAAAAAUUACAAAUCAUUAUCAAUUAUAUUUCACCAUAAUCAUAUUCUUAUUCUUCUUAUUUUAUCUAAAACCCCAUGCCUUCACAGUUUUCACCAUUAAACAUUGAAAUUGCAACUGGAUAAAUGCUCAAAGUAGACAUAUUUGCGCCACAACUUCCUAAAAAAUAAAUCGCUCAACCUCAGUGUAUUUAGCCCUAAAAGAAAUAAGAACAUUGCUUCAUAGCCAUAGAAGUUUGGCUUUUUUGCACCAAUUCUGAGUCAUAAGGGGAGCCUAAAAAUUUUGGUAGAUUCUCGUGUUGGGCUAAGAGUGUCCAUACAAAUGGUUUUGACAAGACGUGCCACCAGACUUCCACAUUGCUAAAGGAGAAUUUUGAUGCAAGGAGUGAAUCACCUUUAUUUAUCAUCGACUCUAGUACCACUGUUCAAAAUAAAAUUGAAAUAGUGGGAGAUUAAACUUUUUUUUUUUUUGAAAACUCGGUAUCCGAUCCAAGGACCGACUAAUCCGAGGGGCCCAAUCCCACCGCCCACUUGCGAGGGGCCGUUCUAAGCCAGAGCAAAGCUCUAUAUGGACUUGCCCACCGACAUUGGCACCAGAGGGAAUCGAACCUGAGACCUUGAGAGGAGCACACUCCAAGAUCCCAAGCCAACCACUAGGCCAACCCCAAAUGGGUGUGGGAGAUUAAACUUGAAGAAGGAAAUUGCAAUUUAUUUCAUAGAAGAGAAUUACUAAGUAUAAGCUACAAUCAACGUGAAGUUCUUUGAAAAUCUGAACUGCCAUCAAAUUUUUUAGCUAACUGAAAACAGAUAAAAAUGCAUGGACAAAGUCAAUCAUGCACCUAGACCAAGAUCCAAAACCAACUUGCUUCAGAAAAGAAAUUUAUGGUUAAAUACUUCAAAUUUGUAUCACUCAAAUGAUGUAUUUAUCAUCAUGGAUGGAAAAUCACAAAUUGGAAUUCCAGUUGGCUGAAUAGCAAAUUGAAUUUUUGCUCAUUUUUCAUAUCAUUAUAUGAUUGAUCAUUUUAAGUAACAAUUAUCAACAGUUAAAGCCAAAAUAGAGCAUCAUGUACCCAAAGUAUAUACAUCUGAACUCAACUAAUUUGAGAUUCGAGUCACAUAGGCUUGUCCUUCGAUGUUUUUUAUUUAAAAAGAACCUAAAGAUAAAACGAACUACAGAACUGAAUAUAAGAUUUAAUUAAUUGAUUCUUUACUCUAUUUACCUGAUUUUUUCUCCAUACAGGCAGUUCGAAGAAUGAAAACCUCCCCAUUGACUGAAGAGGAGAUAGCAUGCAUUGAUGAGGUAAUUUAUUCUAGAGCAAUUUGGAUUUGAAAAUUUUCUGUUAAAUCGCACAUAAGUUUGCUAAUGCGUGACAAAAAAUUAACAGGGACUUAAGCAUUAUAAAUCUGAUUGGAUGUCAGUAUGGCAAUAUAUUGUUCCACACAGAGAUCCAUUCUUGCUUCCACGCCAAUGGCGAGUUGCUCUUGGGACUCAAAAGUCUUACAAGGUAGCUGAAGGAAAAAAGGAGAAGCGGAGAUUGUACGAGUCUGGAAGAAGAAAGUCGAAAGCUACUGAGACAGAAUGUGGGCAACCUAGGUCUGAUAAAGAGGUUUGUUACUGUCUGAAGCUAAGAAACCUGCGUUUGAAUUUACCUCUCAGGUUCUACCUGUAUAUGAAAUGUCAGUAGUCAUCUUAAAUGUAGUUUUUGUUAACUGCCAGAAUGGCUUAGGACAAAUAACAUACAAAUGCACAAUAUACAAUUUAGUCUACCUUUAUGCAAUCUUGGCUCAUACGUACAUGCACCAUAAGUAUAUAACAAAUUGUAAUCAUCAUGAUUUUAUGUUAGUGUGCUUGUAAAUGUAUCAAGAGUAAGUCUAAAGAGUUACUCCAAAUCAUGGCCCUUCAUUUGAAUGGUAAUUAAUGGUUGUGAUUAAUUGAUUAUAAUUGUUAUGGUGAGGGUUUUGUACUCCUUCUUGUAAGUCUGAUGGGAAUACCGGUGUUGCUUAAUUCUUCCAUUAUCUCUGUAUCUGUCAGCCCUUCGACACCUUCCCAUACCACAAUUCAAUUUCAAUCUUUAAUUUUUUUUUUAGAUCAAGUCUCAUUCACAAAAUACUGAUCCCCCAUGUAGCUUUCAUGGAAUUGAAAUUCAUGGGUUUCCUCUUUUUCAAUUGAUUAAUGAAUGGCAGACAACAACGUAUAUGAGAAAAAACAAAUCUUGCUGAUCUUCCCAAGUAGAAAAGGUAAAACACAAAAAGCAAAUAAGGUGAAUUGUUGUCCAUAGAAAAUAAGCGAUGUCUAUGUGUAUUGAUGUCAGACUUGAAAGGAGUACAAAACCCUCACCAUAACAAUUAUUAUCAAUUAAUCACAACCAUUAAUUACCAUUCAAAUGAAGGGCCAUGAUUUGGAGUAACUCUUUAGACUUACUCUUGGAGUCAAUGGAUCCCUUCUCUCUCUCUCUCUCUCUCUCUCUCUCUCUCUCUCUCUCUCUAUAUAUAUAUAUAUAUAUAUAUAUAUAUAUAUAUAUAUAUAUAUAUAUAUAUAUAUGUGACAUGUUCACAUUUGCACUGGCUAGUUCAUCGAUCAUUGCAGUGGACAAUGAACCUAUGGCUUAGUCUGAGUGCAUAGGUCAUCUGGGCUUUUAUAUUUGUUUUUAAGGAUUGGAAUUAUCAGAUUUUGGAUUUACUGUUGUGAGCUUUCUUUGGAACUUAAUGCAGGAUUGUGAGGCCGAAAUUGCAGAUGGCAUGGAUCAUUCAGAUGUUCCUUAUGUCCACCAGGCAUUUCUGGCAGAUUGGAGACCAGACACGUCUACUCUUAAUCAUUCAGAACACAUUUCCUCGGCAUCUGCAGAAGUAAAUCUUGGCCAUGAUUCAGUUUCACAAGAUAGUCAGCUUUAUAGAGGAAUUAACAACUAUGGUUUAAGUGGAAAUGUUCAACAUCAGAAUGGUAAUCAGCCUGCAUUUCCAUCCAUAUACAAGCUUCCCCUGCCUUUUCACUCUACAUCUGAUUUUAGGAGUGGCAUGAAAGGUGCUCCCAGUGCAACUAUUCCUAAAAACCCAUUUUUGGGUACGACCUCUAGCUCCAAGUACUGUUCUCGGCCAUAUCGGUCUCGGAGGCCAAAUAGCGCUCACUUGGUAAAAUUAGCACCGGGCUUGCCUCCUGUAAAUCUUCCUCCAUCUGUUCGUGUAGUUUCUCAGACUGCUUUUAAAGGUUUCGAGACUGGAACAUCAAAAGUUCAUCCUUGUCGAGAUGGUGUUAAUGAUGUUAGAAAAGAUAAUUCUGCGUCUCAAAUUCCUCAUGGUGAGAAAAUUGGAAUUGAUCAUCGUGCUAAACGUGCAAGACCUAUGCCAAAAGACAGUGGGGUACAUUCUCAAUUAGAAAGUUCUGAAACUGCUGAAGGCAGAUCUACUGUGGCAGAGAAAUCCACUUACGCUGAUCUCCAAAUGCAUCCUCUUCUGUUCCAGGUCACUGAAGUGGGUAACACACAUUAUUAUCCAUUUAAAUUUAAUUCUGAUCCUUCUAGUUCCUUCAGCUUCUUCUCAGGUAGACAGCCGCAAUUAAAUCUGAGUCUGUUCAGUAGUUCACAGCAACAAGGGCACGUUGAUAGUGCUAACAAGUCAUUGCAGUCAAAGAAUUCCUCAUUAAGGUUAGGAGGCAUUGAUUUUCACCCACUUCUGCAGAAAUCUAAUGAUACACAGGCGCCAACUAGUUCGGAUGCUAUUCAGGCCGAGCCACUUGUCAAUAGUGGUGUGCCUGAUACAACUAAUAUAUCUUCUGGUCUUUAUGACAAAUCCAAUGAACUUGACUUGGAGAUUCAUCUAAGUUCUGUAUCAGAAAGUGAGAAAUCUAUGAAAAGUAGACAGCUAAAGGAACACGUUCCUAUAGAGUCUCAGCAAAUCAUAGCUAGUAGUGCAACAGAAAUGAAUGCUCCAUAUUGUCAGCAGGGUGGUAGAAUUCCUUCACCGAGCGGCUGUAUACUUGCUUCAAGUGCCCCUUUAGUCGUUCCUGAUGAUAACAUUACCAGAUAUGAUGAUGUUGGUAACCAGUCUCAUCCUGAGAUAGUGAUGGAGCAAGAAGAGUUAAGUGAUUCCGAGGAAGAUAUUGAAGAACAUGUUGAGUUUGAGUGUGAGGAGAUGGCUGAUUCUGAGGGAGAGGAUGGUUCAGGAUGUGAACAAGCUUCUGAGGUUCAAAAUAAGGUAGGUUCUUUAUUUUUUUUGCAGUUAGUUUUAGAUUUUAAUCGUGCGUGUCUUUGUGUGUGCUAUAUAUGUUACAAAUUUCAAUAUUGAGGAGAAAUACAUUCUCACAAAUUUCAAUAAUGUGGAGAAAUAACAAAUCUUCUGUUAUACAAUACAGUUUUUUUUUUUUUUUUUUUAACUUCAAUCUUCUCUUAUUUAGUUUUUAUGCUGAACCAUGAACUUUUAAUUUUCAUUCGGUUUUCAGCAUAUACUUUACUAUGUGGUCCUCUCUGCUUACCAGAAAAACUUUACUUUCUUGUCUUGAGUUUAAUUAUUUAACAUGAAAAUUCGCAAGUACGCAUUUUGUUUGAGCCUUGCAAUGAGAUGGCAUACAUCUAUAUUGAGACUGCCCUGUCCAUGUCUUUCCAAGUUUGACUCUGUUAUUUGUUUGUCCUGUACGCAUGCUACAUUGGAUGGUAAUUAAUAUAUCAGUUUGUCAAUGCCAGCAUGAUAAUUCUUUACUUUAGCUGACAAAUUUGAAUUCAUGUUAUUCUUGUGAGGUUCUCAGCUCUUCCAUGCCAUGUUUAAACUCAAAAGGCCCACAUAUAAUUCAUUUGUUACACAUGUAAAUCCAGCUUCCUUUAUGCAAAGUUGGAAAUUUUCUAAUUUCAACUUUUGCUCCAUGCUUUAAUUCAUAUGUUUUUCAUCAAUCUAUUAACUAUUUGUUUCUGUUGCUUCUGAUUCAUGACCAUCUGCUGCCAACCUUAUUCUGUUGAAUAACCUUUAUGCUGGGUGAUGGUUGUCCAUUUUUCUUUGCUUUAUAGUCGUGUACCAUUCAGCACCUCAUUCUUCUUUGGUGCUGGUUCGUAUUCUUAGUUUUAAAAAAUUUUUUUCCUUCCCUUAUAACCUUGAUUUUAAUUUUGUUUUAGUUUGAGUGUGAGGAGAUGUCUGAUUCUGAGGAAGAGGAUGGUUCAGGCUGCGAACAAGCUCCCGAGGUUCCAAAUGAGGUAGUUGCCUUAUCUUUUUCACUAAGUUUAGUUUUAAUCGUUUGUGUCUGUGUGUGUAUAUUACAAACUUAAUAUUGAGGGAAACAUUUUACAAAUUUCAAUAAUCGUAAGAGAUAGUAUAUUUUUUCUCUUAUAUAGAUAUAGAUUUUUUUAUGUUUUCCUCAAAAUAAAUCUUCCAAAUGCAAAACUGAAUAUUUUUGUAAACCAAAUUUUAUGUUGAGCCACCGAUUAUUAAUUUUCAAUGUAGGUUUUCAUCAGAUGUUUAAUGAUGUGUUGCGUUUCUUACUCCUUACUAUGACUUCUUUGUAAUGAUUUUUGUGUUAGGAUAUAAGAAAAUAUCUUGACGUUAUGUCAGUAUAGAUGUUUGCUAAAUGGUGGAGCUCAGUUUUUUGUUUUCUAUUUAUUUUUUAUUUGCUAGACAAUGCAUUAUUUUCUUGUAACAAGCUUAGUAAACCUUAGCUUGAGGGAGAGUAUUAGAAUAACAACAACAACAACCAAGCAUUAUCCCACUAAGUAGGGUCGGCUACAUGGAUCAAACGACGCCAUAAUAUUCUAUCAUAUAUCAUAUUUCUAUCCAACUCAUUAAUCUUUAGAUCUUUCUUAAUAGUUUCUCUUCAUAGUUUUUUUAGGUCUAUAAGAAAAUAAAAUAUCUUUUAAUAUAUUGAUAUUAUGUCAAAAUAUCUUAGUUUGUCUCUUAGGAUUAGUUUCUUAUCUCAAAGUUUCUUAGAUUAUCUUUUAGGACUGGUUUCCAUAUCUUAGUUUUAUCAUGAUUUAUUUAUUAAUUAGGACGAGGAGACUUGUAUCCCUAUAUAUUAAGGAUAAUAUUUAGUCUUUUGUAUAAAGUUAGUAUCCAGUUAUUACUUUUCAUCUAAAACCCAUAACUUCAACAAGUUUAAUUAUUUAACAUAAAAAUUACACUUUUUUUAGCCCUGCAAUAAGAGGGCAUAUAUGAUAUUAUCUAUUUUGAGACCGCCAUUUACACAUCUUUCCACGUUUGACUGUGUUAUUUGUUUGUCCCUUGUGAGCUGUGACUCCUUAAUUGGGUGGUAAUUAGUAUAUAAGUCAGUCAGUGGCAACAACAUAAUAAUUCUUUACUUGAGCAGGACAUUUGAAAAUAAUGUUAUCCUUGUUAGGUUCUCAGCUUUAAAUUCUGAUCCAUGCUUAGACUAGAAAUGCCCAGAUAAUUAAGUUUUUGCACUUACACAUGUAAUUACACCUUCCUUAGAAAAAUCUUUCUAGUUUCGACUUUUGCCUCAUGCUUUAAUAGAUAUCUUAUUCUGUUGACUAAACUUUAUGCUAGGUGGUGGUUGGUUAUUUCUCUCUGUAUAAUCUUGAACCAUUUAACUCCCACAUUGGAGGUCCUUUAAGUUAUUUAAUUGUAAUAAAUUGGUUCUUUAAAUUUUUUUCGUACCACUUAGGUCGUUAAUUAAUUGUAACAAACUAGUCUUUAAAUAUUUUUCUUAACACUUAGGUUUUAAGUUAUUUAAUUGAAACUUUUAGGCUCCAACUAACUUACAUUUUUAAGAUCUGAAAUCCCCUAAAUUGUUACGGUUAAAUAACUUAAAGGACCUAAUUGGUACGGAAAAAACUUAAAGGGCCAACUUAUUACAAUUAAUUAUCUUAAAGGACCUAAGUGGUACGGAAAAAACUUAAAGACCAAUUUGUUACAAUUAACUAACUUAAAGGAUUUCUGGUAUAAUUUAGCCUUUUCUUUUUAUGCUAGUUUAUACUCUUGAGCAGUUUUUCAAAAUAUAUUUCCUUCCAUUAUAACCUUCCUUUUAACUUUAUUUUGUUAGGAGGUCCCAAGAGCCAAUUCUGAUAUUCAACUUGAUUCUUGUCUCCCUACAACUGAUGCUAUGCCAAAUAUGACUUUGAUUAGUAAGGAAAUGGAUGACAAAAGUAAUUCGUCGUGGCUAAGUUUAGACUUUAUGUUUAGACUUAAGUUUAGACUCAAGUAGAUUCAAAAAUCUUGUACCAUCAAAGGCUAUGCUUCAGCAGGUAACAACUGGUGAAGAUUCUGCGUCCAAAAACUUCUCAAUUGGUAAAGCAGACAUGGGGGAGGGACAUUCCGAAGACAUUGUACAAUCGCCAAGCAUAGGUCCUCGUGUGUGUAGANAUAUAUAUGUGACAUGUUCACAUUUGCACUGGCUAGUUCAUCGAUCAUUGCAGUGGACAAUGAACCUAUGGCUUAGUCUGAGUGCAUAGGUCAUCUGGGCUUUUAUAUUUGUUUUUAAGGAUUGGAAUUAUCAGAUUUUGGAUUUACUGUUGUGAGCUUUCUUUGGAACUUAAUGCAGGAUUGUGAGGCCGAAAUUGCAGAUGGCAUGGAUCAUUCAGAUGUUCCUUAUGUCCACCAGGCAUUUCUGGCAGAUUGGAGACCAGACACGUCUACUCUUAAUCAUUCAGAACACAUUUCCUCGGCAUCUGCAGAAGUAAAUCUUGGCCAUGAUUCAAUUUCACAAGAUAGUCAGCUUUAUAGAGGAAUUAACAACUAUGGUUUAAGUGGAAAUGUUCAACAUCAGAAUGGUAAUCAGCCUGCAUUUCCAUCCAUAUACAAGCUUCCCCUGCCUUUUCACUCUACAUCUGAUUUUAGGAGUGGCAUGAAAGGUGCUCCCAGUGCAACUAUUCCUAAAAACCCAUUUUUGGGUACGACCUCUAGCUCCAAGUACUGUUCUCGGCCAUAUCGGUCUCGGAGGCCAAAUAGCGCUCACUUGGUAAAAUUAGCACCGGGCUUGCCUCCUGUAAAUCUUCCUCCAUCUGUUCGUGUAGUUUCUCAGACUGCUUUUAAAGGUUUCGAGACUGGAACAUCAAAAGUUCAUCCUUGUCGAGAUGGUGUUAAUGAUGUUAGAAAAGAUAAUUCUGCGUCUCAAAUUCCUCAUGGUGAGAAAAUUGGAAUUGAUCAUCGUGCUAAACGUGCAAGACCUAUGCCAAAAGACAGUGGGGUACAUUCUCAAUUAGAAAGUUCUGAAACUGCUGAAGGCAGAUCUACUGUGGCAGAGAAAUCCACUUACGCUGAUCUCCAAAUGCAUCCUCUUCUGUUCCAGGUCACUGAAGUGGGUAACACACAUUAUUAUCCAUUUAAAUUUAAAUCUGAUCCUUCUAGUUCCUUCAGCUUCUUCUCAGGAAGACAGCCGCAAUUAAAUCUGAGUCUGUUCAGUAGUUCACAGCAACAAGGGCACGUUGAUAGUGCUAACAAGUCAUUGCAGUCAAAGAAUUCCUCAUUAAGGUUAGGAGGCAUUGAUUUUCACCCACUUCUGCAGAAAUCUAAUAAUACACAGGCGCCAACUAGUUCGGAUGCUAUUCAGGCCGAGCCACUUGUAAAUAGUGGUGUGCCUGAUACAACUAAUAUAUCUUCUGGUCUUUAUGACAAAUCCAAUGAACUUGACUUGGAGAUUCAUCUAAGUUCUGUAUCAGAAAGUGAGAAAUCUAUGAAAAGUAGACAGCUAAAGGAACACGUUCCUAUAGAGUCUCAGCAAAUCAUAGCUAGUAGUGCAACAGAAAUGAAUGCUCCAUAUUGUCAGCAGGGUGGUAGAAUUCCUUCACCGAGCGGCUGUAAACUUGCUUCAAGUGCCCCUUUAGUCGUUCCUGAUGAUAACAUUACCAGAUAUGAUGAUGUUGGUAACCAGUCUCAUCCUGAGAUAGUGAUGGAGCAAGAAGAGUUAAGAGAUUCCGAGGAAGAUAUUGAAGAACAUGUUGAGUUUGAGUGUGAGGAGAUGGCUGAUUCUGAGGGAGAGGAUGGUUCAGGAUGUGAACAAGCUUCUGAGGUUCAAAAAAAGGUAGGUUCUUUAUUUUUUUUGCAGUUAGUUUUAGAUUUUAAUCGUGCGUGUCUUUGUGUGUGCUAUAUAUGUUACAAAUUUCAAUAUUGAGGAGAAAUACAUUCUCACAAAUUUCAAUAAUGUGGAGAAAUAACAAAUCUUCUGUUAUACAAUACAGUUUUUUUUUUUUUUUUUUUUAACUUCAAUCUUCUCUUAUUUAGUUUUUAUGCUGAACCAUGAACUUUUAAUUUUCAUUCGGUUUUCAGCAUAUACUUUACUAUGUGGUCCUCUCUGCUUACCAGAAAAACUUUACUUUCUUGUCUUGAGUUUAAUUAUUUAACAUGAAAAUUCGCAAGUACGCAUUUUGUUUGAGCCUUGCAAUGAGAUGGCAUACAUCUAUAUUGAGACUGCCCUGUCCAUGUCUUUCCAAGUUUGACUCUGUUAUUUGUUUGUCCUGUACGCAUGCUACAUUGGAUGGUAAUUAAUAUAUCAGUUUGUCAAUGCCAGCAUGAUAAUUCUUUACUUUAGCUGACAAAUUUGAAUUCAUGUUAUUCUUGUGAGGUUCUCAGCUCUUCCAUGCCAUGUUUAAACUCAAAAGGCCCACAUAUAAUUCAUUUGUUACACAUGUAAAUCCAGCUUCCUUUAUGCAAAGUUGGAAAUUUUCUAAUUUCAACUUUUGCUCCAUGCUUUAAUUCAUAUGUUUUUCAUCAAUCUAUUAACUAUUUGUUUCUGUUGCUUCUGAUUCAUGACCAUCUGCUGCCAACCUUAUUCUGUUGAAUAACCUUUAUGCUGGGUGAUGGUUGUCCAUUUUUCUUUGCUUUAUAGUCGUGUACCAUUCAGCACCUCAUUCUUCUUUGGUGCUGGUUCGUAUUCUUAGUUUUAAAAAAUUUUUUUCCUUCCCUUAUAACCUUGAUUUUAAUUUUGUUUUAGUUUGAGUGUGAGGAGAUGUCUGAUUCUGAGGAAGAGGAUGGUUCAGGCUGCGAACAAGCUCCCGAGGUUCCAAAUGAGGUAGUUGCCUUAUCUUUUUCACUAAGUUUAGUUUUAAUCGUUUGUGUCUGUGUGUGUAUAUUACAAACUUAAUAUUGAGGGAAACAUUUUACAAAUUUCAAUAAUCGUAAGAGAUAGUAUAUUUUUUCUCUUAUAUAGAUAUAGAUUUUAUUAUGUUUUCAUCAAAAUAAAUCUUCCAAAUGCAAAACUGAAUAUUUUUGUAAACCAAAUUUUAUGUUGAGCCACCGAUUAUUAAUUUUCAAUGUAGGUUUUCAUCAGAUGUUUAAUGAUGUGUUGCGUUUCUUACUCCUUACUAUGACUUCUUUGUAAUGAUUUUUGUGUUAGGAUAUAAGAAAAUAUCUUGACGUUAUGUCAGUAUAGAUGUUUGCUAAAUGGUGGAGCUCAGUUUUUUGUUUUCUAUUUAUUUUUUAUUUGCUAGACAAUGCAUUAUUUUCUUGUAACAAGCUUAGUAAACCUUAGCUUGAGGGAGAGUAUUAGAAUAACAACAACAACAACCAAGCAUUAUCCCACUAAGUAGGGUCGGCUACAUGGAUCAAACGACGCCAUAAUAUUCUAUCAUAUAUCAUAUUUCUAUCCAACUCAUUAAUCUUUAGAUCUUUCUUAAUAGUUUCUCUUCAUAGUUUUUUUAGGUCUAUAAGAAAAUAAAAUAUCUUUUAAUAUAUUGAUAUUAUGUCAAAAUAUCUUAGUUUGUCUCUUAGGAUUAGUUUCUUAUCUCAAAGUUUCUUAGAUUAUCUUUUAGGACUGGUUUCCAUAUCUUAGUUUUAUCAUGAUUUAUUUAUUAAUUAGGACGAGGAGACUUGUAUCCCUAUAUAUUAAGGAUAAUAUUUAGUCUUUUGUAUAAAGUUAGUAUCCAGUUAUUACUUUUCAUCUAAAACCCAUAACUUCAACAAGUUUAAUUAUUUAACAUAAAAAUUACACUUUUUUUAGCCCUGCAAUAAGAGGGCAUAUAUGAUAUUAUCUAUUUUGAGACCGCCAUUUACACAUCUUUCCACGUUUGACUGUGUUAUUUGUUUGUCCCUUGUGAGCUGUGACUCCUUAAUUGGGUGGUAAUUAGUAUAUAAGUCAGUCAGUGGCAACAACAUAAUAAUUCUUUACUUGAGCAGGACAUUUGAAAAUAAUGUUAUCCUUGUUAGGUUCUCAGCUUUAAAUUCUGAUCCAUGCUUAGACUAGAAAUGCCCAGAUAAUUAAGUUUUUGCACUUACACAUGUAAUUACACCUUCCUUAGAAAAAUCUUUCUAGUUUCGACUUUUGCCUCAUGCUUUAAUAGAUAUCUUAUUCUGUUGACUAAACUUUAUGCUAGGUGGUGGUUGGUUAUUUCUCUCUGUAUAAUCUUGAACCAUUUAACUCCCACAUUGGAGGUCCUUUAAGUUAUUUAAUUGUAAUAAAUUGGUUCUUUAAAUUUUUUUCGUACCACUUAGGUCGUUAAUUAAUUGUAACAAACUAGUCUUUAAAUAUUUUUCUUAACACUUAGGUUUUAAGUUAUUUAAUUGAAACUUUUAGGCUCCAACUAACUUACAUUUUUAAGAUCUGAAAUCCCCUAAAUUGUUACGGUUAAAUAACUUAAAGGACCUAAUUGGUACGGAAAAAACUUAAAGGGCCAACUUAUUACAAUUAAUUAUCUUAAAGGACCUAAGUGGUACGGAAAAAACUUAAAGACCAAUUUGUUACAAUUAACUAACUUAAAGGAUUUCUGGUAUAAUUUAGCCUUUUCUUUUUAUGCUAGUUUAUACUCUUGAGCAGUUUUUCAAAAUAUAUUUCCUUCCAUUAUAACCUUCCUUUUAACUUUAUUUUGUUAGGAGGUCCCAAGAGCCAAUUCUGAUAUUCAACUUGAUUCUUGUCUCCCUACAACUGAUGCUAUGCCAAAUAUGACUUUGAUUAGUAAGGAAAUGGAUGACAAAAGUAAUUCGUCGUGGCUAAGUUUAGACUUUAUGUUUAGACUUAAGUUUAGACUCAAGUAGAUUCAAAAAUCUUGUACCAUCAAAGGCUAUGCUUCAGCAGGUAACAACUGGUGAAGAUUCUGCGUCCAAAAACUUCUCAAUUGGUAAAGCAGACAUGGGGGAGGGACAUUCCGAAGACAUUGUACAAUCGCCAAGCAUAGGUCCUCGUGUGUGUAGACCACGAAAUCCCAGGAAGCGUCGCAGC